GUGAAUCAUCGAAUCUUUGAACGCAAAUUGCACUCUCCUCGGAGAGUAUGCCUGCUUGAGGGUCAGCCUCUAAAAAAUCGACAUCGUUGCUGCUUCACGGUGACGCUCGUCGGAACUUGGGUCAUCUUAAAUCUUUUGGGGUUAAGCGACUUAAAAUUUUCUUUACGAUUCCAUUACCGUUUCCACGAUUUAUUUCCUUACACGUUGAAGGUAUCGACUUUAUUAGGCUUGCUCGUCAUAUCGGAGCAUGUCCAUAUUUUUUCGUUCA
rnacentral:misc_RNA from 1 species